ACUUUAUUUUUUUCUACAAAUUUUACCCAACUGCCUAAUUAACAAAAAACCUGAACAAAUGAGGAAAAAUUAAUUAAGUAUAGUAUUAUUGUCUGUUGGGACAUAAUUGACACAUCCAUUAAUGUUUUUACAGGUGUUAAUCACCACUUCCACUUUUUUAACAAACAAUAGGUGAGCUUGGGUAUUAAAAUUGUAUUGUCUUAAUCACAAUAUCAAUAAAGUUAAAAGUGGUUGAUUGUCAUUAUUUUGUUUGAAAUUUUUUAAUACUUGAUCUAAUUAAUAAUUAUUGUCAGGUGAAAACACAAAACAGCUUUGUAACUUAGGAAAGUAUAUACAUUUCUCUUUAAAUUAAGAAACAGUUUAUUUUAAUGAAAUAUAUUUUGUACUAAUGAAACUUCUGACGUCACCUGUUGUUUACUAUGCAUAUUGUUUGUAAUAUUAUGCCAUAUGUAUACACUGUACAUGUACUUGCUUGUACUGAUGAACCGUAAGGCUCAAAGUUAAUAAAGAAUAAAAAUUAAAAAGCACAUAUUAUAUAGAAUUUAUGGGAAAAAUUUUUAUUCAAUUUGUCAAUAAAUGAUAUCUGGUUUUAACUUCCAUUUUGAAUUAAGUGAGCUCAGAUAUUUAUGUCGACCAUCAAAGUCAAAUUGGAACUAAAUGUUUUCUGCAUUUGAAUUUCAAUGUAGUUAUGUAAAAAUAUUGGUUAAACUUAUAUGAAAUUGGAGGUAAUAUCAGAAGUUUUCAAUCAAGGAAAAAAAUGCUUUCAAGGCAUAUUCUUGUAUCAUAAGAGCUCAAUCUCACAACGAAAUAUUGGAGAGGCAAUUUCCUUUUGUAAACUGUAAACAAAAUAAAAACACUUGGUUAUACAGAUAAUACAAUUUAUCACAUUAAACAAGGUCCCAUCAUUGUGAAUACCAGUUUCAUGAUUUUUCAUUCAAGCUUUACAUUUUCUUAUUUUCAUAUUGUCUAUCAAAAACUAUUUUCAUAUAUAAACAAGAUUUGUAAUCAGCAAGUAAUCAUAUGAAUGUAAUCUUAAAGUAAUCUAAAAGUAAUCCUGAUUACACCUGUUUUUUGCAAUGUAAUCGAUUACAUUAUGAUUACUUGUAAUCAGAAAUGGCAUGAUUACUGAUUACAUAGGAUUACACUGCAGAAUGUAAUCGAUUACAGCUAAUUACGAUUACUGAUUACGAUUACCCCAUGCCUGAGUCUUAGUAAUCACAGGGUUAGUUUAUUCAACAUAUUUUGUACUUGUAGUAAGAUAAAUUGUGUAUUUAACAAAAUUGUUGAAGAUUCUGUCAUACAUUUAGAUGCAUCACCUGUAUUUAUACACAGUGCAAUUAAGUAGUGGCUAUUAUAGUGUUUUGAUCCCUCCAUUAAUCUGUUAUAUACAUUUAUUCAUACAAGAGCAUAAUUCAUGUGAAUUUUUUUGCUAAAAUUCAACAUUUCACUUACUUUUUUGCUGAUUAUUGGGUAUUUUUUUACUCUUUAAACCAAAUAAUAUCAAAAUACAAAUCUGGCUUAAAGUAAAAGGAAUGUUUAUCAAACAGGUGGAUGGAAGGACAGCAAGUGGUAAAGAGUUCUUGUCUUUUCACUCCUUCAAUUUUCAAACCAGAGCCUUCACAAUUUCUAGAAUGUUUGCUUAUAUUUAUAAUGAACAUGUGCAGCUGACUUUUUCCACUUGUUUCAAUAAUUUUUGCCAAUCUUCCAGAUGAAUAAACUUUUUACUUAAUGAGGGUUUAUCAAAUAAUAAUAUUUUUUAGAUUUUUAAUUUAUUCAUGAUAUUGGAGAGAGCUUAUUUCAUCCCAAAUGUAAACAUGUGACAUACUCCACUAUUAGAGACCUAUCAAUUUGUCUGUUUGCAUUUGUUUAUUGGCUUUUAAUAAUCUUGAGCUUCAUACCAGAUUAGAGGUUAACAGAUAUGUAGUUGGGUUAUAUGUUUGUCUGUGAUAUUUAUAUUUCAUUUCAUACAUUUAAUUGUUGAUGUGCAAUUACUGGCAAGGAGAUAUUUUUUAUUCUUGUUUUCAUAUUUUAAUUGAUUUUCUCAUGAAGAUACAAGGUCAAAACUUUUGAAGAAAAAAAGUGUUAUGGGUUUUCACUGUAACAGUUUAUCUAAACUUAUAAGAAGAAUGUUUGAAAUAACAUGAUAAAAUUCAAAUGAAAAUAACUAGAAACAUGUAUACACAUACACUUUGGAUGUAUAUAGUGUAUGUGUCAAUGCAACAUAAAGCACACAUCAAUUAACCAACCAAUCAAUCAUAUGAAAUGAUGUUAUUCUAAAUAUUAAUUUUUGCUUGAAAUAUGUAGCUUUUCAUAUAUUUGAGAAUAUACAAGGUGCUUUUAAGAUACAUAUAUUAUUGUGUGAGUGUAUGAUUUUAUAUGAUAUUAUAAAACAUUAGUUAAAUUUCAACAUUGAAAUAACUGUAGAAAAUGAGUAUGAUUCAAAGAGGUCCAACUUCCAGUAUCAAAUAUUGGAGAAUACAAAGUUAUGCUCACUAUGACUGCAUAUAUUUGUUACAGUAGAAUAUUUUGUCCUGCUUAAGUACAUUAAGUUAUCUCCAAUCUACAUUUUGAUGUGAAAAAACAUGCUAUUUUGUGCAUUUUUCUUAUGAACUUUUUUUGUGAUAAUUUUCAUAUCAUGCUUCUCGCUUGAGAUGGAAAAAUUAUCGCUAGAAACUAAGGAGGUCACGUGGCGUUGCUAACGAAAUGACAUGAAAUUGACAACGAUAUUAAAAUAGCAUAACAGAUUAUCAUUGGUCAUCUCAACUCGAUUGCUUUUCUCACUUUCGCUGUACCAGCUCAAGCGAGAAAAUCAAUCUCGCUGAGAUGAUCAACGAUAAUCUAUAAAUAUCAAAUAUGUUCAGACCUGAUAUUGGAAUAAAGCAUGAUAAAAAGUAGUUUUUAAUUGAAGCUGUUAUUUGUUAAAUAUGAUGUGUUGAAUAUCAUGCAUUAAGGGUUGACAUAACUUUUUAACAUCAAGGCAAAAGCUUCUAGUGACUUUAACAAAACAUGUAUUUUAGAUGUAUGUGUAUUUCUCUGGAAGGCAAGUUUCAGGAAAAAUUUCCAUACAUCAAAUUAUGAAUUUUAUGUCUUCAUCCUCACGCAAUCAUUCAUGUAUUACCUUUGGAUUACUGAUAAUAAGUCGCCUUGGUAAAAUGAUCUUCUUUAAGAAGGUAAGUUUUUGUUACUGAUGUUGUGUAGAAAUUAAAUCCGUCCAUUUAUUUAUUUUAGUGCACAACUUGAUAUAAGCAGAAAAAGAACAGUACUAAAUCAAUUUUUGUAACUUACAAAUGCAAUGAAAUAAAACCAUGUGGAUUAUCCGUCCAUUGAGGUUGUUGUCUCAGAUCAUUGUUCUUUUAGCAACAGUUUUCAUAUACACAUUUAUGUUUAGUUAAUAUUAAAUUUUUAAAAUAUACAAG
rnacentral:lncRNA from 1 species